rnacentral:rRNA from 1 species
UUUAAAUUUAGAGUUUGAUCCUGGCUCAGGACGAACGCUGGCGGCGUGCUUAACACAUGCAAGUCGAGCGAUGAAGCUUCCUUCGGGAAGUGGAUUAGCGGCGGACGGGUGAGUAACACGUGGGUAACCUGCCUCAAAGUGGGGGAUAGCCUUCCGAAAGGAAGAUUAAUACCGCAUAAUAUGAGAGAAUCGCAUGAUUU